AUAUCUAUGAUGUGGACAUUGAACUAAAAAUAAUUUAAAACGUUCCCAAGAUUCAUGGAAUGGCUCACCUUCCAUUUGUGAGAAAGUAGAAAUCGUACGUCUAAAUUC